GUGCUUGCUUCGGCAGCAUGUAUACUAAAAUUGGAACAAUACCCAGAAGAUUAGCAUGGCCUGGGCAGGGAUACCAUGCAAAUUAGUAAAGUGUUCCAUAUUUUC